CAAAGGUGAAAUGUCAUAAUCUUUUAAGAAAAUUGCACAGUGACUGGCAUUUACAAAGGUUUUCACAGGCCCUUUUCAAAGAUUUUCACUUGGGUGACAAAAAUUGUACAGUUUGUGUGACCUUUAGUGAAAGUGAGCUACGUAUGCAAUGGCUGUCUAUUGAAAACGUGUUGUCUGUUUUGUUGGCUUAAAUGUGCAGACCCAAAUUGCAGGACAUCCGAUAAAGCAAAAUAAUAGAUCCAGCUAUAGAUAUGUAUAUGCAUAU